UGACGUGCACCAGAGCUACUGAAAUAUCCUCAGCCAGACACACGAGUGUAGCUUUACUCUCCUUCAGAGCCUCAGCGGACGGAGACAAGAGACUCAGAACAGGAGGAGUGAGAGGAAAGUCUGCAGGAAACAGUCAACACGCUUCAUAAAACACUGAGAGCAGAUCUACUCACACAAACAUGCUGAUGAAACUCUGCCUUCUCAUCACUGCUUGCACAUGUGUCAGUGGUGUGAUUGUAGUGACCCAGAAUCCUCCAGUUCUCACGCUGAGUAAAGGACAGACGGCCACACUGGACUGUAAUCUGGACACCGUCACUAAUAGUGCUGCUCGAUGGUAUAAACAGAUCCAUGGAGGAGUUCCACAGUUUGUCUUAUAUUUCUACCAUCCAAACAGUUCUCCUACGUACGGAUCCGGCUACUCCUCUCCUAAAUUCAACUCAAAUCACAAAACUAAAUCAGAUUAUCGUCUGAUCAUCAGUAAUGUGGAUGUGGAUGAUUCUGCAGUGUAUUACUGUCAGACAUAUGACAGCUCUGUUAGUGAGGGGGUAUCACAGCGAUUCACAGCAUGACAAAAACCUCCUCACUGCUCACAUUCACUUCUGCUUUCUGCCUGCAGACUCUGUCACAUUAGAUACUGUAUGUUAUAUGAAUAUAAUCAAACACAUUUACAUAGAGCUGAUUCUAACAGCAGGUGUUUCCUGUGUGUCAGGACUGAA